GACGAACGCUGGCGGCGUGCUUAACACAUGCAAGUCGAACGGAAAGGCCCUGCUUUUGUGGGGUGCUCGAGUGGCGAACGGGUGAGUAACACGUGAGUAACCUGCCCUUGACUUUGGGAUAACUUCAGGAAACUGGGGCUAAUACCGGAUAGGAGCUCCUGCUGCAUGGUGGGGGUUGGAAAGUUUCGGAGGGUGGGGAUGGACUCGCGGCUUAUCAGCUUGUUGGUGGGGUAGUGGCUUACCAAGGCUUUGACGGGUAGCCGGCCUGAGAGGGUGACCGGCGACAUUGGGACUGAGAUACGGCCCAGACUCCUACGGGAGGCAGCAGUGGGGAAUAUUGCACAAUGGGCGGAAGCCUGAUGCAGCAGCGCCGCGUGCGGGAUGACGGCCUUCGGGUUGUAAACCGCUUUCGCCUGUGACGAAGCGUGAGUGACGGUAAUGGGUAAAGAAGCACCGGCUAACUACGUG
rnacentral:rRNA from 1 species